rnacentral:lncRNA from 1 species
AUUAUAUCCUUUUGAAUUUUUAUAGUAUUUAGGCUAAAUUACAAAAAAACUCCUGUAAUAAUCCGCUUUUUCAUUUUUCUCCCGUGAUAUUUAAAAACCUACACUUUGCCCCAUUGUAAAAAGAAAAAUAUUCAUAGGAAGGUUACGGUAUGUAAAAUGACUAUUUUGCCCCUCGUCAUUUUCGUCUUAUUCCUCAUCUUCCUCAGCUGCCCCUUCGAUCGGCCGCGAUUCCCACCUCAAUCGGCCGCGAUUUCUUAUAGGCAAGGGCAGUAGGAAAAAAAUCGAGGUGGGUGUUGAUGGAGAGGUAGGCAAGGGCAACGAGGGCGAAGGCGAGACGGCGGAGGAGGGGAAAGGGAAUGUGGGCGAGGGCGAGGCAGUGGAGGACGGCGAGGCGGCGAGGCGGCGAGCCGGAGGGAGGCGAAGCAACAAGGAAGAGGGCGGAGGGGUAUUUUCGGCAUAAAAAAUUAUUUUAUAACGGAACCCUAACGGUAGGAGGUGAAGUGCACAUUUUUCAUUUUACAAGGAGGCAAGUGUGGGCUUUUAAAUGUCAGAGGAAAAAGUGAAAAAACGGAUUAUUACAGGAAGGUUUUCUGUAAUUUAG